GGGUUUAUUCGAAGCAAACGCGGAGAACCUUACCUACUCUUUACAUCCCGAGAACCUUCCAGAGGUGGAUUGGUGCCCUUUGGGAACUCUGAGACCGGUGCUGCAUGGCUGUCGUCAACUCGUGUUGUGAAAUAUUGGGGUAAGUUCCGCAACGAGCGCAACCCCUAUCCUUUGUUGCCAGCGGUUAGGCCGGGAACUCAAAGGAGACUGCCCGUGAUAAACUGGAGGAAGGUGGGGAUGACGUCAAGUCCUCAUGGCCCUUACCAGUAGGGCUACACCCGUGCUACAAUGGCGCAUACAAAAAGAAGCGACCUCGCGAGAGCAAGCGGACCUCAUAAAGUGCGUCGUAGUUCGGAUUGGAGUUUGCAACUCGACUCCAUGAAGUCGGAAUCGCUAGUAAUCGUAGAUCAGAAUGCUACGGUGAAUACGUUUCCGGGCCUUGU
rnacentral:rRNA from 1 species